rfam:Hordeum vulgare subsp. vulgare, WGS project CAJW01000000 data, contig: morex_contig_120759
GUAGUACUCCCUCCGACCCAUAUUACCUGCCGCUUAAACGGAUGUAUGUAGACGUAUUUCAGUGCUAGAUACAUCCGUUUGAGCGACAAGUAAUAUGGAUCGGAGGGAGUAUUAA